GUCUGUAUGAUUUUAAUGCUGGCGAGCUGAGCCUGGUGGAGUACGGUAAAAGUGAAGUUCUGGGGACAGUCAGAACUGAAUUUAUGAACCCUCACCUCAUCAGUGUCCGUCUAAAUGAGAGAAAGCAGAAAGGAAGCGAAGACAACAAGAAGCUUUCAUAUCUGAUCGAUAUAAAGACCAUUGCUAUUGUGGACUUGGCUGCAGGCUGCAAUCUGAGAACCAUCAGUCACGACUCCAAAAUUGAUUGGCUGGAGCUCAGUGAAACGGGACGCAAACUGCUGUUCAAGGACAAGAAGCAC